GCGAGCGAACGUGGAUGAGGCUAAACCAUGUGCGUGUGAUACCUGGCAGGGGUUGCGUGUGUGGUGUUGUGGGGUGCAGUGUUUCUGGGCUGCUGACCAGGAGCGUGCGCGUGCGUGUUAGCGGAAGCAUCUGGGAUGGUGCGCCGGAGUGGGUGAGAGUCCUGUACGUGAAGGCGUGUGCGUGUGUGUUGUUGUUGCCCCGAGUAGCAGCGG
rnacentral:rRNA from 1 species